rnacentral:rRNA from 1 species
UAGGGAAUCUUCCACAAUGGACGAAAGUCUGAUGGAGCAACGCCGCGUGAGUGAAGAAGGUUUUCAGAUCGUAAAGCUCUGUUGUUGGUGAAGAAGGAUAGAGGCAGUAACUGGUCUUUAUUUGACGGUAAUCAACCAGAAAGUCACGGCUAACUACGUGCCAG